CUAACAGUACUCGUUCUGAUAACUAAUAUUUAUUGAACAGUACCAGAAAUAUAUUUUAAAAAAUGUUGAGUAGGGCCCAGAUCUGCUUUCAAGAAGAAGCUGCCCAGAUCUGCUGAGCAAGAACAGUGCUUCCGGGAACACCUGAGCUAAGGGCUCUCUGGCAGUUUCUUGUCCAGGGAAACCUUCAUAGAAAUGACAUUACGCUUGAGCCAUGGAUGAUGAUAAGGAUUCUGCCAGCCUGCCCAGAUGGCUGUCUGCCCACCUCAGCGGAAAAAGGCGUUGUGGCAUCAGUUCCUGCAGCGGCACUACUGGGGCCACCAGAUGUGCUUCCUGCCAGCUAGAGCUCUCGGCUAAAACCCUCCUCUCCACUCUGCUCUUCACCCCAUGGAGUCCAGAAGGUUCUGCAUGUGAACGUGAGGGACACUGAGGACCAGUCCUGGGUAGCCGAGGAGGUCCAGCACUCGCAAUUCCCUGGUGGCAGAAGGUGGGGCUGUCCUCCAGGGCUCAGAGAAGUCAUGUCCCUGGCAUCUGUGUGUAGCUCAGGCCUGCCCAUCAGCCUGGGGUCGACGCCAGGGCUGUGCAAAGGCUGAGGGC
ensembl:lncRNA novel transcript, antisense to BLK